GCUUUUGAGGUCUUAUUAAAAAAAUCAUCGCCUAAACGAAUGCCAUGGAGAUUUUUCCUUAUUUUUUCUUCUAUUAGUUUCUUAGUUUUCGGCCUUACAUUUAACUCUUUAAUCCAUUUUGAGUGUCUUUAUGUAUACGGUAAGAGAUAAGAGUCUAAUUUUAUUCUUCUGCAUGUGGAUAUCCAGUUUUCCCAAGCCCAUUUAUUAAAGAGACUGUUAUUUCCUUAUUGUGUGCUCUUGGCACCUCUACUGAAAAUCAGUUGACUGUAA